GCGGGAGUAGCUCAGUUGGUAGAGCACGACCUUGCCAAGGUCGGGGUCGCGAGUUCGAGUCUCGUCUCCCGCUCCA
rnacentral:tRNA from 2 species